rnacentral:rRNA from 1 species
UUAUGGCUCAGAUUGAACGCUGGCGGCAGGCCUAACACAUGCAAGUCGAACGGUAACAGGAAGAAGCUUGCUUCUUGCUGACGAGUGGCGGACGGGUGAGUAAUGUCUGGGAAACUGCCUGAUGGAGGGGGAUAACUACUGGAAACGGUAGCUAAUACCGCAUAACGUCGCAAGACCAAAGAGGGGGACCUUCGGGCCUCUUGCCAUCGGAUGUGCCCAGAUGGGAUUAGCUUGUUGGUGGGGUAACGGCUCACCAAGGCGACGAUCCCUAGCUGGUCUGAGAGGAUGACCAGCCACACUGGAACUGAGACACGGUCCAGACUCCUACGGGAGGCAGCAGUGGGGAAUAUUGCACAAUGGGCGCAAGCCUGAUGCAGCCAUGCCCGCGUGUAUGAAGAAGGCCUUCGGGUUGUAAAGUACUUUCAGCGGGGAGGAAGGGAGUAAAGUUAAUACCUUUGCUCAUUGACGUUACCCGCAGAAGAAGCACCGGCUAACUCCGUGCCAGCCGCCGC